rnacentral:rRNA from 1 species
AGCUGAGUUUGAUCCUGGCUCAGAACGUACGCUGGCGGCAGGCCUAACACAUGCAAGUCGAACGGACCCUUCGGGGUUAGUGGCGGACGGGUGAGUAACACGUGGGAACGUGCCUUUAGGUUCGGAAUAGCUCCUGGAAACGGGUGGUAAUGCCGAAUGUGCCCUUCGGGGGAAAGAUUUAUCGCCUUUAGAGCGGCCCGCGUCUGAUUAGCUAGUUGGUGGGUAAUGGCCCACCAAGGCUACGAUCAGUAGCUGGUCUGAGAGGAUGACCAGCCACAUUGGGGACUGAGACACGGCCCAAACUCCUACGGGAGGCAGCAGUGGGGAAUCUUGCGCAAUGGGCGAAAGCCUGACGCAGCCAUGCCGCGUGUA